ensembl:lncRNA
CGGGAGAGAGAAGGGAGAAGCACGUGCGGUUGAAGGAGUGUGAAUUCGCUAGCUGCGGGUUUUUUGUUUCUUUCAAGUAACAUCACUGCGAGUUAAGUGGUCGACCAGAGCACUAUAUGUAACUGUAGUGGUGUAAUAAGCUAACCUCGGAGAGAUGUUAUAUUACCGUGGAAAGAGUAUAAUAGUUAAGAGCUAGUUGUUAAGACUUGGAUACUAGUGCACACAUGGACUUUGCUAAGAAGUUAGUGAACAGCCGACUGGAGGAUCAGAGACUGUGUUUCUCACAGAGAAAGGAGCUGUGGACUUCGCGGAUGACUGCCUGUGUGUGAACCUUCUCUUCUUCUUAUCUUGCAACGACCCUGCGUGACUGUGACCCCAUUGUUGAUCAAGACCUCAUGUUGGGGAUAUGGACCUACUGGAUGCUGCGCUACGGGCUAGUCACAACUAACAGGAAUUUCAUGU